ensembl:lncRNA LOC102555143 uncharacterized LOC102555143
UUCUGUGACUGUGGAUUUGGAACGAUCCGUUAGAGCCUGAUGGGCUCAAGAGUCUGUGCACAACUAGAAAUGAUGCUUUCCUUCCUCUGGAUUCUGUUAGCUGCUAGUAAUUCAUCAAGGAAGGACUGACAGUCUGGAAAAGAGAAAAUAAGAGAGGGUUGUGAGAGAAAUGAGUCUCAAGGCAACCAGGAUCAUGUUCUGACAGGUCAAAAGUAAAAUGGCCACUGGACAUCACAAUGGCUCUGGAACCAUGUACAGACUGGAAUGACAAAUGUGAGACUAUUUGCGACAGCACAUAAAACAACCCAAGUGAGUUCCCCAAGGACGGACACUGGACUUGUAUUGACCCUCAUGAACAACAUUUAGAAGCCUUAGUGAUUGGCUGACGUAGAAACAGCAUUCUUCUUGGAGGAACAGGCAAAGACCACCUUCUUUAGCUGUCAGGACAUCCAGUCCCCGUCGGUUCUGAAACACCACAGCUGCAACAAAGAAUCGAUCUGUUUCUGGAUGACUCUGGCAUCUGCUUUAAGAUUGCUGUUUGAGGAGAGUUCCACUGUUAAGCUUGCCGUCACCUCUAAGUUGUCUGAGCUUACCACAGUCCAUUAAGGUUGUCAUUUUGUCUGAGGACCAUGGGCAAAGGCUGACAGAGAAUGCACAAUAAACAAGUGGAAGUGGAAGCUCCCAGGGGUUUGUGUUGGACGAGAACAACAAAUGACAAGACAGGGAUAAGGCCAUUACACAUCUGUACUUUACCAUGCUCGAACAGGUCUUCUGAAUUGACAAGAAGUUGUUGUUUGCAAAGGCAUGGGUUAAAACCGACAUGGGAGAGGCUUUCCACCUUCUGUUUUGAAAUUGUCUUGUCUGAAAUAUUCUUCCUCGUUGGAAAACAAUGUGAUACUCAGUGUAUGGACACUGUGGGAAGCCUACACACACAGUCUAAUCUCAAACUCACGGAAGGACACAAAGAGAACCUGGAUGGUGGGCUUCGAUUAGAUUUGUCAGAUUUGAAAAAGAAAAAGACAUUAGAAUUUUGGUUCCUGAAAUCCUGAGAAGAGUUGGCACCGAGGGAAGGAAGAUCCUUGUAGCACAAGAAUUUUCCAAUUUUGCCUAUCUCUGUUUUAGAUGCAUGCUUUCAAU